UUAACCUUAAACAUUGGAACAAAAAUUUUGUUUUCUUCCAUGAAAAGCUCCAUAGCUAUGUUUUGAUUUACUGAGCACAAAAAGAAGGUUUAUUAAUAUCUUGUUUAAGAAGUAUGAAGCAGAUAUAUAAAUUUAAUGAGAGUUUGUUUAUUUGGAUAGAUUAAUGGAAGUUAAAUGAUGAAUACCUUGCUUUGUGGAACUUGCAAAUUGUUUUUGUAUUUUAACGCUUUGAUUACUAGGGACUAGUAAUAAGCUGGUUGGGGGGUGUGAUUAGUACUUAAAAGUGCAUUCUCAUUAAGGCUUUAUAUCAUCGUAUUGCACUAAAGUAUCGUUAAAUUCCCUAACUAAAGCAUGUUUUAUAAUAACAAGUCUAAUAAUAUAAUAUAUCUUUAAUUUAUGGUAAAUGCUUGUUUUGAAUGCAGGUAUAUCUCACAAUUCAAAGGAUUGAUUGCUGUGAUUAACAAUUGAAAGUGAAGAGACAAAAAGAGGACUAGGCUAAGAGAAGAGAUGCUGGUUCAAUUCCAAACUGGAACACUAUUCGGUUAUUUGAUCAUAACUGGAGUUGUAGAACUCGGAUUUGGGUCCACUUUAUAUGGAUGGAAAGAUAAGACAUAGACCUAAAACUUUCAUGAAGGGUCCAAAACUCAAUUCUGCCGUUUCCAAGUUCAAAUAUUAGCAACAACGGAGAAGUCGGAACCUGUCCUGCAGCUCAAACACUGUUCGGUUUUCAGCUCAUAUCUUGAGUUCUAGAAGUCCAAAUGAGCUCUGGUUUUUUUUGUUGGAAAGCUGAGACAAUUGCCCACAGCUUUCAUGGAACAAAGGGCUCAAAUUCUGAUGUUAGCAAUGACGUUUAGGCCAGCCAACAAUAUCAAAAAUCUGCCAACAAUUUCAAGAACCAGCAGCCAAUAAUGUCAAAAACCAGCCACCAAAUCAAUGGUUGGCCACCAACUAUUUUCUUAGUCCACCAAUCAAUAGUUCUGAAUCUUAGCCUAUAAAAGGAGGCAUUUGCCAUG
rnacentral:lncRNA from 1 species